rnacentral:lncRNA from 1 species
GGGUGAAGAUGGUCCUUCUUCCUCAGCUCUAUCCUCAGCUCUCUCUUCUACACCUUUAGUCCAACCACCAUCAGUCCUAGUAAAUUCCAUGCGGUGCAGAGUAUGUUGGUUGAUGGUGUCAGAGUGAGAAAGCCUAGCUACUGCCUCUCCCUCAAAACUAACUCCAAACCUCCUGAAUACUAAAGUGAGGGCCAUACCGAAAGGCAGAUGUGCCUUGGAUCUAUUCAG